rnacentral:rRNA from 1 species
UACGUAGGUGGCAAGCGUUGUCCGGAUUUAUUGGGCGUAAAGCGCACGUAGGCGGCUUUGCAAGUCCCAUGUGAAAGCCCACGGCUUAACCGUGGAAGUGCAUGGGAAACUGCAGAGCUUGAGUACUUAAGAGGAUCGCGGAAUUCCCGGUGUAGAGGUGAAAUUCGUAGAUAUCGGGAGGAACACCAGUGGCGAAGGCGGCGAUCUGGGAAGAUACUGACGCUGAGGUGCGAAAGCGUGGGGAGCAAACAGG